UCCAAACUGGUGUAAGUAACCAUACUGCACCUGCGCGGAGAUCGACUCGCAUACCAUCUAAGAACCUCCUGAUUAAGUCUUCCUGAUCGAAAUUAUUACCAGCAAACAAGCGGAGUUGGCAAAACUCCCGCUCGUACUCCCUGACACUCCUGGUACCCUGCCUCAGGUGCUCAAAAGCAUUCCUCUUCUGGUGCAACGCUUCUCUGGGAAAGUACUUUUUCUCGAACGUAAUGAGGAAUACCUCAUAAGUCAUGUCACCAUCACACAUCGAUCGCACUCCAUCCCAUCAUACUAUUGCAUCUCCAUGCAUAUACAACUCUACGAUGUUAAGGCAAAGGCACAACAGACAAUUGAUAGUCUGCAGACACGAAGCCAACCUAUGCUUCUAAUUAUAUGCCGCUCCAGGGUCUACUAUUCCCCCAUAAGUCUCCAAAUCCACAGUUUUCAUCAAUCUCA
rnacentral:lncRNA from 1 species